rnacentral:lncRNA from 1 species
UUUAAUUGGGAUACAACCUUCAUAUAUAAGUGGGGUAGAUACAAGAAUCCAAUUCAACUAUCUUCAUUUCAAAAACCUCUUAAGCAUUACUGUUUUUGCAUAUACCGUCCUUUUCUUUCCUAUGGAGAUUAGAGAGUCAUGAUCGAAGUUGCCUGAAUCAAACAUGGCGAGAUCCAGGUAUGAAGUUUGAUGUUGAGAAAAAAUAGUUUUGAAAAUGGAUCUUGUUGAAGAAUAUGACUAGAUCUGAUUCUGUUGGAAUUUUAGUUACUAAAAAUCUAAUGUUAGAUUAGAGCUUUGUACAAUAUUUACACUGUUACUUCUUUCCUCAUUUAUUUUAUUUAAAAAUAACAUUCACUAAAAUUAAUAAUUCAAUUAUCCAAAACUUGCUCACAUGUUACUUAAAAAAUCGAUUCAUGUAAUUUUCGGGACAGUGACAAUUAUAAUUACGCAAGGAUGAGUCACGUAGUAAGGAAAAUUUCAAAGAAAAGAUCUUAAAAUAUCAUUUCAAUCCAUUAGUCUGUGGUGGAAACUCCAAGAAGAAAAUGAACGAAUUGAUGUAUUGAAAGUGAUCAGCAAAUGCUCCUAUUAAAACGAUGUUUUAUGUACAAGAAAAUAUAAAAAAGAAUUGGAGAAAAAGUAGAAACUGAAUGAGACACAUACAUGACCAAAUUUGACUAUGUUGCGACCCGCACUUCAUAUUUAACGAUGAAUCUCAGUAGCACGCGAAUGGUGCACAACGUUAAGUUUUAAGUCUCCUAUAGGAGUAACCAGCUUCAAGGAAGAAAACCUAUACUUCCUUUCAUUUACAAAGUACCCUAAGAAUUCUAUCUAUAGGCUGUACAAUAUCCUGUUGCAAAAACCAUUUUUGAUGCCUAUGUAUCUCAUUCAUGACUACGUCAGGAUCCUAUACCAAAUUACAGGGAAGCCCUGGACCUAACCAACCAAGAGAAACCCAAAAAAGUAAGGCAGAACAGAAAUGGGUUAACACCACUAAGUUCAGCAGCUACUCAAUCGCCGAGCUAACUGUUCGACCAAAUCUACUUUUCGAAGCUUAUAAUAUUUUCUUACAUUGUGUUUCUUUGCCAUAGCCCUCAAAUCAGUCAAUGACAAGCUAUUCAAAGAUAAGGUCUCGUCAUGAGAAUCCACCAAGGAAUGUGACUUGUGAGUACGAGGAGCUAACUGGCUUUUUUUGUCCACAGAAACCCCGUCCGAAUUUGGUACGUCCAAAUUAACACUUGAAUUCUGUAUGUCAACGGUGAUAGGCAACUUUGUAACUCUUCUUUUCUUUUGUAAUUCAGAAAAUUUACUGUCAUAAAGAACAAUAGCACGACCUUCAGUCUCAUGCUUGUUUGGUUGCACUGCCCCUUUAGUAAUAAUCUUCCGCUUCAUUGACUCGUUUAAAAUGGUAACAUCAGUACAGGAUUUGGAUCUUCGCUGACUCUUAGUUGAUACAACUAUGGAUGCACUUGGAAUAACUUCCGUACAACUGUCAAAUGGUUCUCUGGAAGAAAAUGCCUUUAGUUCCAGUUCCUGCUUUUCCGAAGCUUUAAGCUUUGACGGGAAACUCAUCUUGGACUUUCUGAGGUUAGUACUCAGUUGGGAUUUAAGGUCUUGUUCAUGUUCUUCCCCUUUAUCUUCAUCUACAUCCAUCAGCUGUAACCCAGUAUACAAUGAACUCUUGGUAUGCAUCCCUAGCAGUGAAAUCAAUGCAGAAUUUUCAGCAUUAAUAAGGGGUGGUGUUUUCAAUGUUGAACACUAGUCCAGAAUUAUUACCAUUGCUAUCUUUAACGGAGCAAAAUUCUGUAUCAGUGAUACAUAAUGUUUUAGGAUAUACAACUUGUAAAGGGUAAUUCAGGGAGUUCAAAUCUUCGUCUGGAGCAACCUUGGGUUCUUUCUUGCAGUCCCUUUGUGCAGCUUUUGGAGCAAAAUCACAUGGCUCUUUGUCUAAAUUAGGUUUUGCUCGUUUCUUUCGUUGUGAAGUAUCUAAUAUGGAAUGUGGACCCGUUUUCUUCCCAUUGAUGUCAAUUGCAG